AGUAGUUUGAUCAUGGCUCAGGAUGAACGCUAGCGGCAGGCUUAAUACAUGCAAGUCAAGGGGGUAGCAAUACAACCGGCGCACGGGUGAGUAACGCGUACACAACAUACCAUAUACUGGGGUAUAGCUUUGGGACUCUGAAGGUAAUCCCCCAUAACAUUGCGAGAGGGCAUCUGAUUGCAAUUAAAGUUUCGGCGGUAUAUGAUUGGUGUGCGUUUGAUUAGCUAGUUGGUAGGGUAACGGCCUACCAAGGCGACGAUCAACUAGCUGGCGUGAGAGCGCGACCAGCCACACUGGAACUGAGACACGGUCCAGACUCCUACGGGAGGCAGCAGUAGGGAAUAUUGGACAAUGGAGGAAACUCUGAUCCAGCCAUGCCGCGUGAUAGAUGAAGGCCCUCUGGGUUGUAAAUAUCUUUUAUCUGGGAAGAAACAAUCUUAUUCUUAAGAUCUUGACGGUACCAGAGGAAUAAGCACCGGCUAACUCCGUGCCAGCAGCCGCGGUAAUACGGAGGGUGCAAGCGUUAUCCGGAUUCACUGGGUUUAAAGGGUGCGUAGGCGGGCUGAUAAGUCCAGUGGUGAAAGCUCCGAGCUUAACUUGGAAACUGCCAUUGAUACUGCCAGUCUUGAAUGUCGUAC
rnacentral:rRNA from 1 species